CUACCUUCCUUCUCUUCAGAUUGUAUAAAUCUUUCACCUGUUACUAAACAUUUCCAUGGAGAGAAACAUUGAUGAGUUUCUACUCCAUUUUUUGAACAGCUACUCCACUCUCAUGAGGCAGU
ensembl:snRNA U5 U5 spliceosomal RNA